rnacentral:rRNA from 1 species
CCUACGGGGGGCAGCAGUAGGGAAUCUUCCACAAUGGGCGAAAGCCUGAUGGAGCAACGCCGCGUGGGUGAAGAAGGUCUUCGGAUCGUAAAACCCUGUUGUUAGAGAAGACAGUGCGUGAGAGUAACUGUUCAUGUUUCGACGGUAUCUAACCAGAAAGCCACGGCUAACUACGUGCCAGCAGCCGCGGUAAUACGUAGGUGGCAAGCGUUAUCCGGGUUUAUUGGGCGUUAAGGGAACGCAGGGGGUAUUUUAAGUCUGAUGUGAAAGCCUUCGGCUUAACCGGAGUAGUGCAUUGGAAACUGGGAGACUUGAGUGCAGAAGAGGGGAGUGGAACGCCAUGGGUAGCGGUGAAAUGCGUAGAUAUAUGGAAGAACACC